GCUUCAAACGUUCGCAAAGGGUGGCCGUCAACCGGGCCACGUGCGUGUCUAUGAAUCGUCAGUGUGCUGCGUAGUUGGGAUGAGAAAGGAGUUUCCGAAAAUUUUCAAAGGCGUCGAGCCGCUCUACGAAGGAGAUGGAGAUGGUGAUAAGGGGUUAACAGUGUCCCAUAAUUGCUUGUGUGUUUAGGCUGUCACUGCACGUCCGAUUCAAUAUGAACUGAAAAGACAACCACCAGCUGCAAUUCGAAGAGGCAAGAAAGAAAUUUCCAUCGAGGAUCUGGUAUUGAAAAUGGGUAUUCAAAACCAUAUUUGAUCAAACAGACAACACAUCCCUUGUGUGUGACUAAGCCAUGUGAACAGAUAACUUUUUCGAGGAGAAUCACGUACUGUAUUGGCGAUACAAAGAUGAUUGGAGCAACUAUGUACGAAUCAGUCCCUGAGGUAAAAGUGAAAAGUUUUGCUAAGCCUGAAGAAAACUCAUGUAUACAACAAAAAAGCAACAGAUGUUUAAUGGAUAUGGACAAUGAGAAAGAGUAUCAGAUAAUAAGUACAACAACAUACGCAGAGCCGGCCUCAGAACAUGCAGUGCCACCAAUCAAACCACCGAGGAAGAAGAAGUACCAACAAAUUCCUAGACAUCAUUCCU